AUUGAACGCUGGCGGCAGGCCUAACACAUGCAAGUCGAGCGAGCGGCGGACGGGUGAGUAAUGUAUGGGGAUCUGCCCGAUAGAGGGGGAUCACUACUAGAAAAGGUGGCUAAUACCGCAUACUCUCGGAUGAACCCAUAUGGGAGUAGCUAGUAGGUGGGGUAACGGCUCACCUAGGCGACGAUCCCUAGCUGGUCUGAGAGGAUGACCACCCAAACUGGAACUGAGACACGGCCCAGACUCCUACGGGAGGCAGCAGUGGGGAAUAUUGCACAAUGGGCGCAAGCCUGAUGCAGCCAUGCCGCGUGUAUGAAGAAGGCCCUCGGGUUGUAAAGUACUUUCAGCGGGGAGGCGUUACUCGCAGAAGAAGCACCGGCUAACUCCGUGCCAGCAGCCGCGGUAAUUC
rnacentral:rRNA from 1 species